UACGGGGGGGGUAAGCGUUGUUCGGAAUUACUGGGCGUAAAGGGCUCGUAGGCGGCCAACUAAGUCGGACGUGAAAUCCCUCAGCUUAACUGGGGAACUGCGUCCGAUACUGGAUGGCUUGGAUUUGGGAGAGGGAUGCGGAAUUCCAGGUGUAGCGGUGAAAUGCGUAGAUAUCUGGAGGAAUACCGGUGGCGAAGGCGGCAUCCUGGACCGACAUUGACGCUGAACGGCGAAAGCUAGGGGAGCAAACGGG
rnacentral:rRNA from 1 species